AGGAUUAGCAGAGACUUUUACUUUCUGUUUUCUUUAUUUCAGUAUUAUUGUAAGUUUGAAAUCAGAAAAAAUGCAGAAAGAGUUUAAAAUAUGCUUAUCAUGGGAUGGAAGCAUUAGUUUCUUCUUUAUCUGAGUUUUUUUUGGUUGGAGUUUGUAGUUUUUAUUAGUUUCCCACAGACAAAGUAGAUUUCUUCUGAAAUCAUAAAAAAAGGGGAAAAAAGCAUAUUUUUAAAUUAGUUGCAAACUAUCUGGUUACAGUGCCUGACAAACAGUAAGUCUACAAACACCAGGUAGGUCUGGUGUUUUCCAGGUUGGUGAGGUCUUCCUUGCAGCACACAACCCAAUGGAUCUCUUCCAAGACCAGAUGCACUGGGCUCAUACCAAAGCAUGCCAGGGGGCUUCCCUCCUCUCCCCAGUAUCCUCCUGACGGGUCUAGGAUUUUGCUGGUCUUUCUAACUGGAGCAGCACCUAAACUAGAAACAGGCAGUCAGCUUACAUCUGUAGGAUUGACUUGAAAGGCUCUAAGUGAAUCCAAGAUUCCUUUUGCUCAUCGUCACUGACAUUUCAUAGCAUAUCACACAAUAACUCGAGUUUGAAUUAUCUUUCCCAGAUAUAUUACAUGUGGCUUCACUCACACUAACAGGCUGCUUUCUCUCUGCCCUACGCUGUGAGCUUGCGAGGCAGAGGGAGAUGCUCUCCUCUCAACUUUCUCACCACCAAGGACCUUCUCACUUCCACCCUUCCCCCAGCCCUAACUCCAAGUUCCUAAGAUGCUUAUUUACAAAACUGUUCUUAUUAAACAACAAAUAAGUGGUCUCCUUUUUUACUAAAGAUAAACACUAACUUCCAGCAGUCGGAACUUUAGACACAUACAAGAUAGUAAAAUUCCAACUGAAAGCAGGAACAUGCGACACUUUGGUCAUCCUGGACAAUGAUUUUUGUGGCUAAGUGUAUGAUUUCCAUUAGAAUUUUUACAAUAUUAAAAAUAACUGUUGUAUUCCCAUCACUUUGCCCCCAGAUGCCUAAGGAUCCCAAGUAGGAAAAAUUUCACUCGAAGACAAAUCUCACUCAAGACCCCAUGAUCCGCACAGAGAGGAGUCUCAAAGGCCCAAAGAAAUUGAUUUCUAGUUGUAGCCAUUUCAAUGCUCGGUAGAUAAAAGGCAGUUCUUCUCAUUGCUAAGUCCUGCAUUUGGAGUCCGAGGGGAAGAUCUGUGGCCCUUUAUCCUGGAAAGAAUCCAUCACGUGAAGAGCAGAGCUGGGGAGAGCCCUUAGUUGUGUUAAGUUCUUGUUUUCUCUUCUUAGUUUAAGUAGAACUGAAACUGUGAAGUAGGCAGCAGGCCAGAGACCCAGAACAGAGCUCUGAGGUGAAUUUAUAAUAAAAUGACUGUAAAAAAUAUUCCCCAAUGUGCUUUAACUCUUUCUUCUUAAUAUAUUAACACGUUUGAAGCUUUUUUUAUUGAACAUUUCCAACCAAGGUAAUAACUAUAAACAUAAUUGUCUUAGCUGAGUUCUCCCAGAU
rnacentral:lncRNA from 1 species